AUGUCUCAAAAAGAACAAAUUCAAGCAUUGCAAGAGCAGUCAGGAAAUCCAGAUAUAAUCUACAUAGUAGAUGUAGAGGAGGAAAUGUCUGAUGCUGAAGAGGAACCACCUAACAAACAAGAGCUUAAGAUAUCCAUGCAUGCAGCAACUGGUAUUCCUGAAGCAAAAAACAAGCACACCUUUACACUACAAGUCCUAAUUGGGAAAACAGUAGUCCUAGCUCUGGUAGAUAGUGGCAGCACCACCACUUUUAUAUCUCCAACAGCAGCUCUGCAAUCUGGGUACAACAUUACACCAGUGAAACAAGUUCCUGUAACUGUAGCUAAUGGAGGAAAGCUAUUUAGUGAUUUCUCCUAUUUCCAAGCCCCAUAUCAAAUUCAAGGAGUGGAACUGCUCUCGGAUUUCAGAGUCCUACAACUCACUGGAUAUGAUAUAAUCCUAGGAGCAGACUGGAUGUACAGGCACAACCCUGUCACUUUUGACCUACCAAACAUAAGGCUAGUAAUCAGAAACACCACUGGAGAAGAAAUCACAGUUGUUGAUGAAAGCUUACCUACUAGCCCUUGUACUCCCAUACUGCAAGACAUGGAAAACAUAUUGGAUAACAUGCUCACUGGUGCUUUAAUGUGGAUGCAGCCCGUCCAACUGGACAAUGUCACUGACACUGUUCACAAACCUAAAAUUACUGAAAUGCUAGACAAGUUCCAAGAUGUCUUCUCGGAACCAACGAGCCAGCCACCCAAGAGGGACUGUGAUCAUGCAAUCAAUCUGCAACCUGAUGCUCCUAUGAUCAACCAAAGAGCAUACAGACUUCCUCAUCACCAGAAAAAUGCGUUGGAGGAAAUAAUCAAAGAUCUUCUUCAGAAAGGGAUUAUCAGAUUAAGUCACAGCCCCUACUCAUCCCCUGCCACUCAUCCCCUGCCAUAUUGGUCAAGAAAAAGGAUCUCAUUUGGAGAUUAUGCAUUGAUUACAGGAAGUUAA
rnacentral:rRNA from 1 species